rnacentral:sRNA from 1 species
UUGGCCAGAAGGGGAAUAGAAGGCAAACAAUAAAACAGCAGCCCAACUCACCCUUUCUGUUUGUUCCUUAAAGGUCUUCCACUUCAGCACAAUGCUACUGCCUAAAAAAAUGAAGCUCCUGCUGUUUCUGGUUUCCCAGAUGGCCAUCUUGGCUCUAUUCUUCCACAUGUACAGCCACAACAUCAGCUCCCUGUCUAUGAAGGCACAGCCCAAGCGCAUGCACGUGCUGGUUCUGUCUUCCUGGCGCUCUGGCUCUUCUUUUGUGGGGCAGCUUUUUGGGCAGCACCCAGAUGUUUUCUACCUGAUGGAGCCCGCCUGGCACGUGUGGAUGACCUUCAAGCAGAGCACCGCCUGGACGCUGCACAUGGCUGUGCGGGAUCUGAUACGGGCCGUGUUCUUGUGCGACAUGAGCGUCUUUGAUGCCUACAUGGAACCUGGUCCCCGGAGACAGUCCAGCCUCUUCCAGUGGGAGAACAGCCGGGCCCUGUGUUCUGCACCUGCCUGUGACAUCAUCCCACAAGAUGAAAUCAUCCCCCGGGCUCACUGCAGGCUCCUGUGCAGUCAACAGCCCUUUGAGGUGGUGGAGAAGGCCUGCCGCUCCUACAGCCACGUGGUGCUCAAGGAGGUGCGCUUCUUCAACCUGCAGUCCCUCUACCCGCUGCUGAAAGACCCCUCCCUCAACCUGCAUAUCGUGCACCUGGUCCGGGACCCCCGGGCCGUGUUCCGUUCCCGAGAACGCACACAGGGAGAUCUCAUGAUUGACAGUCGCAUUGUGAUGGGGCAGCAUGAGCAAAAACUCAAGAAGGAGGACCAACCCUACUAUGUGAUGCAGGUCAUCUGUCAAAGCCAGCUGGAGAUCUACAAGACCAUCCAGUCCUUGCCCAAGGCCCUGCAGGAACGCUACCUGCUUGUGCGCUAUGAGGACCUGGCUCGAGCCCCUGUGGCCCAGACUUCCCGAAUGUAUGAAUUCGUGGGAUUGGAAUUCUUGCCCCAUCUUCAGACCUGGGUGCAUAACAUCACCCGAGGCAAGGGCAUGGGUGACCACGCUUUCCACACAAAUGCCAGGGAUGCCCUUAAUGUCUCCCAGGCUUGGCGCUGGUCUUUGCCCUAUGAAAAGGUUUCUCGACUUCAGAAAGCCUGUGGCGAUGCCAUGAAUUUGCUGGGCUACCGCCACGUCAGAUCUGAACAAGAACAGAGAAACCUGUUGCUGGAUCUUCUGUCUACCUGGACUGUCCCUGAGCAAAUCCACUAAGAGGGUUGAGAAGGCUUUGCUGCCACCUGGUGUCAGCCUCAGUCACUUUCUCUGAAUGCUUCUGAGCCUUGCCUACAUCU